AGUCCUCCUGCCGAAUUUCACGAAGAAUUUCAGUGCAAAUAAGCGUCCAGCGACAGCAGAAAAUGACAACCAGAAGAAGGAAUUAGUUAAGAUGCUGGGAGAUCUCCCAUUGGUUUCUCUGCCUGAAGAUAUUGUAAGGGUUAAACUGCCGACAAGUUUCUGGAGUAAGUACUUGAUUACAGACAACUUGUCCAAGUAACUUCAAGAUCCAAAGUGAAGUUAAAGAGAUUUUUCCUGCUACUACAAAUUACGAAUUAAUGGAAAUUAAAAGGAGGAGGGGCAAGAUUAUUAAAUCUGCGAUGACGAUCUUUCAAAACACAUGAAGUACUCUGGUGGAAUUAUCUCUCAAAUGUAUUUCUGAUCAACACAAACCAGUUUACUAAUGAAAAUA